CAUUUUCUGGGGUGAACAGACUUCCUCGUUACAGGGAGGAGAAUGGAUUCCCUUAGUAGAUCUUUGUUAAAAUUGAAGCAGAGGAGAACGGUGUUAGAAGACACCAUCGUGGCAAGUCUGCUGACUGGCCCCUGCAAAACCCUAACACUCUCCAUGGAAACUGUAUGAAUAUUGGAUCUACACCUCUUCGCUUAGGCUGUCCUUAGAUGGAUUCUUUGAGGAUUCCUGCUCCAUAUUCUCCCCACUCCAUCUCUGCAAUGAGGGAAGGAAUGAGCGGCUGGCUGGUGCUCAAUUGUCCUCUGGGCCUAAACCACAACAUCCUCUUAAAUACUGAAGAAAAAAUGUCAAAGUGCUUUCUCAGAUGAAGGUGGAGAGUUGCCAUGACUACUGAAAACACUCUAUGUAGCUUGUAAGAAAGUAGAAAGUACCCUCAAGGAAGAAGACUCUGUAAAUAUAUUUCCUUUAUGAAAAUGUGGAGUAGUGAAGCUAAAUGUCAUGAAUGCACAAGUAUCUGUAGUUAAUUUCUUAAU